GAUGAAGAACGUAGUAAAAUGCGAUACUUGGUGUGAAUUGCAGAAUCCCGUGAACCAUCGAGUUUUUGAACGCAAGUUGCGCCCGAAGCCUUUUGGCCGAGGGCACGUCUGCCUGGGCGUCACGCAUCGCGUCGCCCCCCACAAUUCUCCGUAAAGGGAACGUGUGUUUUGGGGGCGGAUAUUGGUCUCCCGUGCUCAUGGCGUGGUUGGCCGAAAUAGGAGUCCUUUCGAUGGACGCACGAACUAGUGGUGGUCGUAAAAACCCUCGUCUUUUGUUUCGUGCUGUUGCUCGCAAGGUAAGCUCUUUAAAAACCCCAAUGUGUCGUCUCUUGACGACGCUUCGACCGCGACCCCAGGUCAGGCGGGACUACCCGCUGAGUUUAAGCAUAUCAAUAAGCGGAGGA
rnacentral:misc_RNA from 1 species